UUUCAUUUGGUUAUGAUUUAUGAUGCCACUAAUUGUUUCUUCUUUAUUGUUUUUCAUUUGGUUGAUUGUUUCUCUCUAGGUGGUUACCAUUUCCGAUGAUAUUCUUGAAAUCAAACAACAAUUUCCUCUUCUGUUUGGUGAAGAUACCAAUCGAGGUCGUGUAGAUGCCAAUGUCCAGUCUCAGACUCGUUUUCCGGAGCAGUUUGCAAGAACUCCAAUUUCUUCCAACCUAGCGAAGUCAACCGGAUGCGAUUUGGAACGAAAGGGCAAGAGUUUGAGCAAAAAGAAAAGCAAGAAAAGCAAGAGAAGGUUAACUCCCAGGCCAGCAUGGUGCACUGCGUAGGGCGAUGCGCUGCCUUGUUCUCUGGGGACUUGGGUUUGACGGCCGUACAUGGCCCCACCCCGUAUAAAAAGAGUUCUAAACUUAAUUUGGAGGGAGAGACGCAACUUUGAGAGCAGAAUCCACGCACGGAGCACCGGAGAGCUAGGAUUAUUAGUUUUCCUUCAUUCUUAGUAUUUUCAAUCAUUUAAACA